rnacentral:sRNA from 1 species
AAGAAAAUGCAAGUAAAAUGAAGAAAAUAUAUGGAGAAUUCUGUAGCCAUCAUAAAGAAGCUGUUAACCUCUUUAAAGAACUCCAGCAGAAUAAAAAAUUUCAGAAUUUUAUUAAGCUCCGAAAUAGUAACCUUUUGGCUCGACGCCGAGGAAUUCCAGAAUGCAUUCUGUUGGUCACUCAGCGUAUUACAAAAUACCCUGUCUUGGUGGAAAGGAUAUUGCAGUACACAAAGGAAAGAACUGAGGAACAUAAAGACUUAUGCAAAGCCCUUUGCUUAAUUAAAGACAUGAUUGCAACAGUGGAUUUAAAAGUCAAUGAAUAUGAGAAAAACCAAAAAUGGCUUGAGAUCCUAAAUAAGAUUGAAAACAAAACAUACACGAAGCUCAAAAAUGGACAUGUGUUUAGGAAGCAGGCACUGAUGAGUGAAGAAAGGACUCUGUUAUAUGAUGGCCUUGUUUACUGGAAAACUGCUACAGGUCGUUUCAAAGAUAUCCUAGCUCUACUUCUAACUGAUGUGCUGCUCUUUUUACAAGAAAAAGACCAGAAAUACAUCUUUGCAGCCGUUGAUCAGAAGCCAUCAGUUAUUUCCCUUCAAAAGCUUAUUGCUAGAGAAGUUGCUAAUGAGGAGAGAGGAAUGUUUCUGAUCAGUGCUUCAUCUGCUGGUCCUGAGAUGUAUGAAAUUCACACCAAUUCCAAGGAGGAACGCAAUAACUGGAUGAGACGGAUCCAGCAGGCUGUAGAAAGUUGUCCUGAAGAAAAAGGGGGAAGGACAAGUGAAUCUGAUGAAGACAAGAGGAAAGCUGAAGCCAGAGUGGCCAAAAUUCAGCAAUGUCAAGAAAUACUCACUAACCAAGACCAACAAAUUUGUGCGUAUUUGGAGGAGAAGCUGCAUAUCUAUGCUGAACUUGGAGAACUGAGCGGAUUUGAGGACGUCCAUCUAGAGCCCCACCUCCUUAUUAAACCUGACCCAGGCGAGCCUCCCCAGGCAGCCUCAUUACUGGCAGCAGCACUGAAAGAAGCUGAGAGCCUACAAGUUGCUGUGAAGGCCUCACAGAUGGGCGCCGUGAGUCAAUCAUGUGAGGACAGUUGUGGAGACUCUGUCUUGGCGGACACACUCAGUUCUCAUGAUGUACCAGGAUCACCGACUGCCUGUAAGUGAAAAUGCAGGCCUUGGCAAUGAGCCUGAGCACAAUCCCUGGAGCUUACAGUGGCCACAUAAAGUAAAGGCAAUGACUGUCUCUGGUUGAAGGGGACUUGAUAUAUUUUUUUAAAUUAGAAAAAAACUGAGAAUAAAUAUGCUAGCCUAAAUGAGUAUCAUAUGCAUAUAAUAAUGACACUGGGGUUUCAAGUAUGAGGAUCUAAAGAGUAGUUGGUGGGUUCUACUGCUCUGUUUGCCAGCCAAAUAUCGGACCUUCCCCAACCCCUACCCUGCCUCAUUUUUGAUAUGAUUUAUUCAUUACAGUUUUGAAAGAACUUUUUAACUUUUCAGGUUUUUUAAAAAAGGAGUCCCUGCGGUCAAUUACAGAACAAGCCCUUAAACCUAAUCUCAUGUGCAUCAACUGAGAAAACAACUCAGAAAACCAGAAAUAUACACACGGCUCCCUCCGUCUCCCUCCUUUCUCUCUCCCUCUCUCUUUCUCUCUCUCUCACACACACGAAGUUUGGUGGUAUGGUUAAAGCAGAAGUGCCAGAAAAUUCUUGAUCUGUGCCAUCCUACACUUUAGUUCAUGUCAGAAUUCAUUUAUGAAAACAUUGUUUCAAAACAUUUUAAAUAUAAAAAAAAUAGAAUGUAGAGAUUUGGUUUAGGUAAUUUCCCCGAACCUAGCUAUCCUGUUAUAUGUAUAGUUGUAGGCUACUUAGUUCCAUAAAGGUUUCUAAGAUAAGAGCAUAAAGAGUAUACUUUUCAUCCUGUGCAGGUGGUAACAACCUUACUUCCACAAGGUCUUAUGUGCGUAAGAUAAAAUGGAUAAAAUGUCUUCAGUAGUUAGAGAUCAGAAGAUUAAAUUGAACUCAAGAUUGGAAGAUUAAAUUGAACUCAGAACUUCUUUAACAACAUCCCUUGAUUAAUUAAGAUAUAUAGAUGCAGUAUAGCUUUUUAAUUCUAUACUUCUUUUUUUUUUCUUUUUUAAACAUCAGCACCACUAAUUAUCUUCCUCUCUCAAGUUCUGCUUUAUCUAAUCCUGAGUUUCUAUUUUCAGAAUGCGCACAUAUGUUUUUCAUUUUGACACAGCCCAGAUUCAUCAGGGGAGUUGUACUGCCCUGGGUGAUUUCCUUUUAAAAGAAGAACCUCAUUAUGCCAUUGAGGAGUCUCUGUCUAAAAAUACGUGCAGGGAUCUGCUGCUCUCAGCCUCGCCCCAGGGACAGCUGGAGAGGCUCCCCUCCGCAGCUGCCCGAGCCCGCGGCCGUGCCUUCCCUCCCUUCAGGCCAGGCAGUGAAGGUCUCCUUGUCUGUAUCCACAUCUCUCAUGACUGGGGAGAGUUUCAAAGGGACACCCGUGGCAUUUGCCAGAACCAUUGAGAGGCUCUUUAGAGGGGUCUGAUAUCGGGAUUCAGGUAGAGGAAGUACCGAAGCCGGCUGGUGGGGUCCUGUACCCCAAGGCCUCUUCAGUUCUGGGUCAGACUGGAACAUGGUGCUAUGAGAGUUUGAUUCUCUUUAUAAAGUUGUUCAAGGCACAAGGCUAGCUCUAAAUGGAGGUCUACAACUGUGACUGAAUGGGUCGGUUCUGCAAAUGACUUGGAGAACUGGGCUCUUCUGCAUCAGGCUUAUGUCAGCCUGAGGUUAUAAGCCAAGCAGACAGCUCUAUUUUCAGUCUUCAGUAUACAUGAUGAGUAUCUUCUACUUCUAGGAAAGUUCUGUUCACUGGAGACCCUCUGGCCCACCCUGAAAUUGGAUACAGGGACAGGGACCUGAUCUGUGUUUUAUUCUUCUGCCUUGUCAUCAGCUUCUUUCCCAUUUGAUUUUCCUAAUUUCUAUGAGGGAGUGAGAAACAGAGUGGUGAAUUCUUUAGUGAUGCCUUUGGCCACUCUUUAAGAGUUAGGAAUAGCACCCAAUAGUAGAACCAUUUUUCAAAUGACAGAGAAACCUAUAAAAUGUCCCUCAUUGUAAGUGAAUAAGUGCUGAUCAGCUUGAACAAAAUGGACUUGUUUUUAGCUGAUCUCAUCGGAAGCCGUUUCCGUUUAGACAAAAACUUCUUUGUAUUAGAAGAGGUCUUUGAAAUCCUAGAGGACUCUCAUUUUCCAAAGACAUAAGUAUUUUUGUUAAAGAAAAAGGCAUUUCCUAUAUUGGAAAUAAAGUUUCAAAAUGACACAAUAAAAAUUAUACAAACAAACAGUGUCACAAAGUGAAUAUCGAUUUUGUCAGGGUCUGGAUUGGACAUGGUUCUAAUAAAACACUGUUUUGGGCUUUGAAAAUUCUAGUUUUAAUCAGUGCAAGGUGGGCACAGUUUAAGUUUUAACUGAGUUCACAUGGGUAAAGAAAGAAAGAAAAUCCUGCCAACAGAGAUUUAAUGGAUGAAGUGAAAUCUGUAUUUGGUACUUAAAAAUAUUUCGGGACUAGUUUCUAUGUUUUCAUAGUUUAAAUACAUAGUAUUUGUAAAUCUAAAGCAUAACAAGAAAUGUGAGAAAAACAACACAUUUAGAAAUUGUUAAAAAAUAAGUUAUUCAGAGAUAGGGACAGGUUCUUGGUUUGUAUGACUAUGAGACCGUGAAGUAUUAGCCAUCUCCGCCUUCCUAGAAAGAUGUCUCCCUCCUGCUUCGGACUCCUCCUUCCUCCUAAACCUUGUUUAUCGUCUGCUGCUCUUGCACUGGCCACAAGAGAGACUUUUUACAGACUUGAGUCUGCCAAGAGACCUUGCUUUUGUUCUACAGCACCUGUUUAAAUUUCAUCCUUCCCAGGAGGCAUUUUCCUAUUAAGUGAGAGUGAGAUGUAGAUUCUACCCUCUGUAACACAAACAACACACGAACACUUCAGUGCAAGAAAGAAAAGUACAAAGAUGGUGAUACUUUGUGCGGUUCGUCAGUUGCUGUCUGUUAGCGUGUAAGCCCCAUGUGGGCAGGGACCACAUGCGUUGCUCUGCGCUCAUCCAAGCACCUCAUCUAAGAAUACUCAAUAUGUAUUAUUUUGUGGUGUUUCCUAUUUUGAAAUAUGUGUUGGCCGUGUACAGAAGAACCCGGUGGGCUGGCCGAUGUUUGACGCUGUCCUUUUUGUUUCUGUCUCGAUGGCGUGCUUCCAGCAUUAGUCACAGGACGGAGAGAAGGAAGAGGCUGUUCGGAUGUGGAUCCCGGGAUCCAGGGUGUGGUAACCGACUUGGCCGUCUCUGAUGCAGGGGAGAAGGUAUUGUGAACUGAUUUGUUAGUAAACGGCAGCGGUUACUGUGUAUAAUAAAAUAGCCUCAGGUUCUGGUCUGUCACGGCAGUCAGUGGGACAAAGGUGCUUUUCUGAAUUGUUCUCAAUUGAUUUAAAUAUUCAUAUUUAAACUUUCUAACUUAUUUCUUCUUCAAAUGUGCUUGCACUUCCUGUGUCAUGUAGGUGUAAACAAAGCAACGAUUGAAAAGUUAUUAAAAAGAUUAAAAACUCUCCUGUGUAUAUGUGUGUCUGUGCUCUCUGACUUCUGGUCUUUCUGCCCUGCAAACCUUUGCUUCUCACCCACUAUGUCUGGCAGCUCUGGCACCUGGGGGCCCUUUUGCAACCAGAUGGCGCCAAAGUAAUUGAAACACCUUUUACUUUGGAAUAUUCUUGUUUCUUUCACCUUCCUUGACCCUCCUCUCCUUGCAGAGUUGAUUUCCUGUCACCACCCACAUUUCACCUACUUUUUUUGUGGUUAAUUUUUAAUUAAUCUGACCAGUUUUUGCGUGGGGCACAGCGAUUCCCAAAGGGAAUCUUCUUUUUUGACUUACUGCUAUAUACAUAGGUAUUAACUCUCUCUUUAAGAAUUAAAUACAUAAAACUUCCUAUUAAUGUCUACUGAAAGUGAGAUGUCAGAAAUAGGAAAGGAGUAAAAUAUGAUUCUGGGAGGUGGCUGGUUGGCCUCUUCCUGCUUGUCAGGGCUCCAGAGUUUAGCUUUAUCUAAAAUUGAAUUAGGUACAUUACUAGGUGCCACUAUGUGUCAAUGUGAAAAAAUGGCAAAUGUCAGAUCUUCUCAUGUAUACAACAUAUUUUACAUAUUAUAUACUUUUUGUGUAUAUUACAUAAGACUGAGAAAUCAAGUCAAGGACUUUUAAAAUCCAGAGAAAAGACAGCUGUGACUGAGUGUUCUUUUUUAAACUUCACAGGCCAAAAUGAGCAUAGGAAUGUAAUAUUUUACUCCUUCUGAUUGUAAGCUUUCUAAUGUAUUGCUUCUUAAAAUGUUCCUGCUUUUCAUCCUUUUCAGUGAAGACUUCACUUUUAAGUGUGAAGUUUGUGGUGUCCAACUGUGUUAAUAGAAAAGAGAGAGUGAAUUGGACAGUAAUAAUUUAAUCUUGAAUACAAAGUUGGGUGGCUCCUACCCCUAAAGUCUCCCUCUUCCACUCCAAUUCAGCUACAGGUAGAUAAUUGAGGUUAAGUGUCUGGGUUCUUCUUUGGAUUAAGCUAUCUGCAAAAUUUUUUGCUUAAUAAGGCAUUUUGAAAAAUUAAUACAUUAAUAAACCCAGGUAAAGGGCAGGAUCACUUGAAAUCAAACUUUUAAAAGGUGUAUAAUGGAUAUUUUGUCAUUAGCUUCCUCUACAAGGUAAGGUUAGAACAAAUUUCUGAAAGAAUAUUAAAAAAUAAAAUCUGACUCAAAUGCAGAAAUAAUGGAUAAAUCGCCAACUGCAGUUUUAAACAUUUACCACAAGGUGGCGGAACAACUCCAUUGAAAACGCGAAAUUUCCUGUCUUGUGUCAAACCUAGUGGCUUUUGGGCAUAAGUAACCGCAGGUAGCACAGUCCAGCUCAUUUCUAUGGUUCUAAUUUUUAUAGACUAUAAAAACUCUGUGCCAUAUGGUCUUACUACAGAAGCAGUGGAGUGUGGAUGGGCCACGACAGAGCCAGAAGGGCAGCGAGAACGCCAACCAUCCCUCUAGGGCGGGGGUUCUUAGAGCCUGUUCUCUCCCAUAGGGUUUGGCACAGAUCUAAUGUCUUUAAGCUUCAUCUCCAUUUUCAGCCUCUGUCUUUUCUCUAUCAGAGGUGCUGCUUACGAGUGAAAUCUUUAAUUGGCAGUCCAGGGGAAGCGGAGGUCUGGCUAGCUCAUCCUGGCAUCAUCAGCCUAAACUAAUUGAAUUUAACAAGUUCAAAAUUACCCGAGGACAUGACCAUGGCUGGCUGCUUUAUAUGGCUUAAAAUUAGAUGAGACAGUAGGCCCUUGAGGACAGGGCAUCUGAUGGUCUCCCAUAGCGUAAGGUGUGAAGUUUACAGUGGGUGAUCGAUAUUCAUUUAUUGAAUGGCGUGCCAUCGAGUUCAACUUGGAGUCAUUCACUUGUUGAGUGUCCGUGCUAUGUCAAGCAUCAUUCUUAUAAUAUGGAGCACAUGGACAAAGUCUCGCUACUCACUGGUUUGCAUCCUAGGGAGAGAAGGCCGACAAUAAAUGAAUAAACAAGUGUUCAAUUAUGGAGGCUGCAAACCAUCACUAUCCACGUGUGCCCUUAAUGUGUGCUGUGGAAGAGACAAAGAACGAAGCAUAGACCCUGUCCCUAAAGAACAGACAGUCUCCUGUGGCUGGUUCAUGGCCUCUGCUGCUAGUACUUCUACUAUGGCAGUCACUGGUCCGGUGAUCUCUGACUGUGGUGGGAUCUAGAGCAGCCCAGCUAAGCGCGCCCCUAUGGCCGCGGUCUGAGUCUGGUUUCUUUUCCCAACUGCUGUAUAUGUUGAUAUCGUGAAUCUCAAACAUUGAGAAAAGGAGUUAAGGCCAGACAUGAUAUUCUUUCUUUAACUUUCAAUCUGUCCUCUAGAAUAUAAGAGGUCAGCCUGACCCAAAAGACAACUUCAAUCUGGGCACAGAGAACUCAAUUCACAUUGUGGUUUGCACAAGGUAAAUGUUGUUACUUGAGUUUUCAGGGCGUCCUUACUGUCAUCCCUUGUUGUUUUAAGGGGUGAUUGGGUGAAAAUUGCCAUCCAUCUCAAACAUCAACUUUGCGUGAAGGACGCUCUUGUUGUCAAGUGUUUGUUUGAUUCUAUAGGCUUUUAUUUCUGGGAGGAAACUGAGUCAGUAUAGAUGAGGUAAUCAAGUUUAGAGAUAGCAAAGUGAUUUACCCAAGGUCAUACAUUUUGGGACACUGCAGGGCAGCUUUUCAGAAGUAGAAUGGUUAUUCAUUUUCUUGUUUUUUAUGUAUUUUAGGUGGAAUGUAGAAAUUUUCCAGGUUCUUCACAAUCAGAGAUUAUACAAGCCAUACAGAAUUUAACCCGUCUCUUAUACAGCCUUCAGGUAACUACCCUCCUCUAAUCUUUGACCUUGUGAAUGGUUCUCUUAAUGCAAUUCUCUUUGAUGAUUCCCAGACUUUAAAAAUGAGAACAAGUGAGAGGUAGGGAAUGAUCUUAAACGAAUGACAACCUUCUAAGUGUGAUGUGUUGAACUCACAUGGUUUUGUAAUCAGAGGCAACACCAUGACUACAUUUUAUACCAUUCUUCUCUGAAAUCAUAAAACAGUUCAUAUCUUUAAAAAAUAUUGAUGAAUAUGAUCUGGCUUGACAUUUACAAUGAAACUCUUAGGUGAGUGUAGCAUGACUUCACAUUUUCUGAUGAAAACCUAAAUUCACACCUAAACUUCUUUGACUUCUCCAUGUGGCCAUCAGCCUUUAGAGCAGUUAAGUAAUCCAUAUGUUGCUUUACUCUUUUGUUUGUUCAUCCACUCAACAUUUAUUAAUUUAUUAAUGUUGAGGGGAUGAACACACAGUGCCUGUCUCUGUGCUGACUGUGCUGAGGGCUGAGCACACAAAGGCAAAUGAGCCACACAGCCUGCUCUCAAAUAGCUUACUGCCUUUCAAGGAAGAGCAGACAUAAAAAAGAAAUCAUGCUUGCAUUUAGGAUUAAAUGGUUGGAUGAUCCCUUAGGCUGGGGUCCCCAAACCCCAGGGUGCAGAGUGGUACCUGUCUGGGCUGCACAGCAGGAGGUGAGCUGGGGGCAAGCGAGCAGUACCACCUGAACUCCACCUCCUGUGAGAUCAGUGGCAGCAUUAGAUUCUUAUAGGAGCGUGAACCCUGUUGUGAACUGUGCAUGCAGUCUAGGGAUCUAGGUUGCCCCCUCCUUAUGAGAAUCUAACGCUUGAUGAUCUGAGGUGGUACGGUUUCAUCCUGAAACCAUUCUCACCACAUCCCAGCCCAUACAUUAAAAAAAAAAAAAAAAA